GAUGAACGCUGGCGGCGUGCCUAAUACAUGCAAGUCGAGCGAACGGACGAGAAGCUUGCUUUUCUGAUGUUAGCGGCGGACGGGUGAGUAACACGUGGAUAACCUACCUAUAAGACUGGGAUAACUUCGGGAAACCGGAGCUAAUACCGGAUAAUAUUUUGAACCGCAUUGUUCAAAAGUGAAAGACGGGCUUGCUGUCACUUAUAGAUGGAUCCGCGCUGCAUUAGCUAGUUGGUAAGGUAACGGCUUACCAAGGCAACGAUGCAUAGCCGACCUGAGAGGGUGAUCGGCCACACUGGAACUGAGACACGGUCCAGACUCCUACGGGAGGCAGCAGUAGGGAAUCUUCCGCAAUGGGCGAAAGCCUGACGGAGCAACGCCGCGUGAGUGAUGAAGGUCUUCGGAUCGUAAAACUCUGUUAUUAGGGAAGAACAUAUGUGUAAGUAACUGUGCACAUCUUGACGGUACCUAAUCAGAAAGCCACGGCUAACUACGUG
rnacentral:rRNA from 1 species